rnacentral:rRNA from 1 species
GACGAACGCUGGCGGCGUGCUUAACACAUGCAAGUCGAACGGAAAGGCCCUGCUUUUGUGGGGUGCUCGAGUGGCGAACGGGUGAGUAACACGUGAGUAACCUGCCCUUGACUUUGGGAUAACUUCAGGAAACUGGGGCUAAUACCGGAUAGGAGCUCCUGCUGCAUGGUGGGGGUUGGAAAGUUUCGGCGGUUGGGGAUGGACUCGCGGCUUAUCAGCUUGUUGGUGGGGUAGUGGCUUACCAAGGCUUUGACGGGUAGCCGGCCUGAGAGGGUGACCGGCCACAUUGGGAGUGAGAGCCGGCCCAGACUCCUCCGGGGGGCAGAAGGGGGGAAUAUUGAAGAAGGGGGGGAGGCCUGAUGCAGCACCGCCGCGGGGGGAAGGGCGGCCUUCGGUUUGUAAACCGCUUCCCCCUGUGACGAAGCGGGAGUGAGGGUAGGGGGUAAAGAAACACGGGCUAACUACGUC